AUUUGGCUUGAUUUUCCCACUGAAUUGGAGGGGCUGAAGUUAUAGCUCUGUACUGGUCGCUAACUUCAGUUUACGUCGAAACGAAUUGUGAUCUGCAUACUUGCUGACUCUGGUCUCUGCUUGCUACUUCAUUCUGGGAGAGUCCAUCAUGUAUGAUGGGGUGUCCAAACUUCGCGCACUUUUCAAAAAUAUUAAUCAGGCUUAAAUAUUUUCACAAAAUAUUCCUAAUUUAUACAAAACCAAUUCAAGAAAUAGUAACCACAUUGACGGCAAGAUCGUAAACUAUAAAAUCAUGGACGAAAAUGUAAAGUAGGUCAAGGGGAUUUGCCGGUAUCGCGAUCUCAAAAUUCUAUUCCGAUCGGCGAAUGCGCGCUGUGCUGGAAAACCGUUCAGAAAAAGUGUGACCUAACUUCGCGGACCAAAGUUUUUGUGGACAUUUAAACAAAAACUCAAGCUCAAAAAGUGAAAUAUUUAUAUCAGAUCGAUGGCAAAAUGCUAUAGAAUCGGUUAGUACCACAUUUAACUCACAUUUUUGAUGAUUUCUGCUUGCAAAAUGGUGAUAUCGUGAUGCUUGUUGAAAAUAUCAGAUUUCUUCAAAACAAGCGCUAACGGUGACAAAUUUGCCGAUCUUUUGCCAAUAUUUUCAUAAAAACUGAACUCAUCCUAAAGAAACUUACACCAAAGGGUAAUUGUAGGUCGCUUUUCACGUUGAUUACGUCAGAUUUAAAGGAUAUUGGCUAGUUUUUUAGAUAAUGACCGUCCGCGAAGUAUGGACACGCGCGAAGUUUGGACACACUGCCAUACUAUAAUGGUCAGACCAUGAUUUUGACAAAGCCCUUAUUUCGUUUGCAAAUUUUGGACUGAUACAACAGAAAAUUUAUCUUUAUCGAUAUUGGAAACAAAAAAAUUAGAGCACAGUUUUGGGGAGGACUAAGAAUACUGACUUGGACAGGAAUACAGCUUGACAAAAAUAAAAAUUCACAAUUCAAAACCAAAGAACAUUUUUAAUGUUACUAAUAGUGCAUUGCAAGAAACUUUCUACUCAAUCACACAUUCCAAAAUUAAGGGUAAGUCCUUUGAUUAAACACAAACAUGUAGUUGAUUUGCAAUUGAAAUUGAACAUAAGUUUCUUGCAAUGCCCCGUAAUCAUAUUUUGUUCUCAAGCAACUCUGUUAUAUGUUAUCUAAUGUGCUGAAGGUUAAGUGCCAUGUAUGUUCACAAUUUUUUUUUCGAAGGUAUAAUAUAUUUGUCCUUUUAAACGGUA